GAUGAACCGUUGCCGUAGGAUUAGCGUUUCGCGCGCUGCCUAUCUUGAGAUUGUCCACAAAAACCACUGUAUGAUAUUUGCAGUGGCAUGGAGCGGUGGAACUUUUGCUAGCCUUGGUUUGUUUGUUUUACCAGCGUCUUUGCCAGCGUAGUGAAGAAGUGUGACUUGUUUUGGUCCGAGUGGGCAGUGGUUGUGCAGAUGCCGUUGCUGUGCUCGGAAGAAACGCCCACACACACAUACACACAAAGACACAGUGCCGUGUAGACGGAUGCCUUGGCGGUAUGUGGCAGACACCCAGAGCUGCAACCCACUCCAAUGCGCUAAGAAGAAUCCCUCUGUUCAUGAGGUGGACCAUCACGACAGACUAAACAAGGGAAAAGGUCUUUCUCUUGUGUAAUCUGAAAAGAAUGAAAGGCUUCCCAUGGCAUAGAUAGACAAUGAAAUAACAAGAAUUCUCUCUGAUAUACAGACUACACAAAUCUGCAAGCUCCACCAUGUGGUCAAGAUGCAUAAUGGUUGCCAAACAAAACCACAACAGUCUUAAGCUGCACUAGGAAGUUUUUUCGAUCGAUUGAAAUGCAGAGACAUCAGAGCUGUGGUGCAGUGGAUUGUGCACAAAAUCGGGAUGUUUAAGUGCUCUAAAAAAAAAAAAAAGCAUCAAAACAGAUUGCAACUUGGAUGUUCAGAGAGCCUGAUUCAGAAUGAUCACAUCUGUGGUUACAUGCUUCCUCUUGAGCAGAUGAACAUAAAAUCCUAAAAGACUGGCUGUACUGGAGGCUCCAGACCACAGAUGGGCCUCCACAUCUGGCUGCCACCCCUGUGCUCACAUCAAAGUCCGAUCCUGGAUGGUGAGGAGAGGUGGCAUGGUAAUCCCGUUCGGGAGGCCCGUGGACAUCCAGACUUAACUGGGAUGGGAAUCUUAUGGUACCUAAUGAGUCGAUUAACCACCGAUCCUCCAUUUGAUAUGUGCAUUGCGUAGAUUUGAUUGUGUUACUUUUCUUAUUUGACUGCAGUAGACAGUUAAAUAGGUCUAGAAGAAGAGAAAAACCUACUGAAUUAAAUUUGUCAAAACUUUAUUUCAACUACUACUCUAUGU